rnacentral:sRNA from 1 species
CGCAGACGGGAAGCUGCUCAGCACCAGCUUCAGCAGGAACUCGCGCUCUGGGACCUGGUAGGCCAGGCCGCGCCGGGCGCGCUAGCUCGCUCCUUCUCUGGAUCCGCCGGGAGCGCCUUCCCGGGCUGUGCCUGGCGCGCAAGAGGCCAGAGCGGAGCGGGGAGCUCCCAUUCGGGAAAAGCCUCGCUGCGACUCCGGGGAGCCAGCAGACACCCCUGCUCUAGGGAUCGGCCUUUGAGCGCGCUUAAGGGUUCGGGAUCGGCUGAGAGCCGCGUGCCUCCUGCUCUCUCCAGGCCCGGAUGCUCUCCAGGUCAGGGGCCAGACGUGGCCCCGCAGGAAGCUGAGUGCUUAGGCCCCAUUUGUCUCUUCCCCGCAUCCGCUCCUCCACCCCGGACACCCAAGUCAGCAAGCUGGUUGCUCAUCCCUCCAUGCUCCUCAGGGCAGGCAGCUGGGUGAUGUCCCUCCCUGUCUCCCCCUCCCCCCAGGAGAGGUUUGCGGCCCACGAGGGGAUGAGGCCCAUGCGGGCCGUCUUCACGCGCCAGGGCCAUAUCUUCACCACGGGCUUCACCCGCAUGAGCCAGCGAGAGCUGGGCCUGUGGGACCCGGUAACGCAGCUGGAGGCUUGGGUUUUGCUGCGUCGCGUGAAGGAUCCUGCGCUGGCGCCCCCACCUGGUGAUGCCGAGUCCCUGGGGGUGGUUUGCUGUGACUGCAUGCGGCGCGCAGCGGAACAACUUCGAGGAGCCAGUGGCACUGCAGGAGAUGGACACAAGCAACGGGGUCCUAUUGCCCUUUUACGAUCCCGACUCCAGCAUCGUCUACCUGUGUGGCAAGGGCGACAGCAGCAUUCGGUACUUUGAGAUUACCGACGAGCCGCCUUUCGUGCACUACCUGAACACGUUCAGCAGCAAAGAGCCGCAGCGGGGCAUGGGUUUCAUGCCCAAAAGGGGACUGGAUGUCAGCAAGUGUGAGAUCGCCCGGUUCUACAAGUUACACGAAAGAAAGUGUGAACCUAUCAUCAUGACUGUGCCCCGCAAGUCAGACCUGUUCCAGGACGAUCUGUACCCGGAUACGCCGGGCCCGGAGCCGGCCCUAGAAGCGGACGAAUGGCUAUCCGGCCAGGACGCCGAACCCGUGCUCAUUUCGCUGAGGGACGGCUAUGUGCCCCCUAAGCACCGCGAGCUCCGGGUCACGAAGCGCAACAUCCUGGACGUGCGCCCGCCCUCCGGCCCCCGCCGCAGCCAGUCGGCCAGCGACGCCCCCUUGUCGCAGCACACCCUGGAGACGCUGCUGGAAGAGAUUAAGGCCCUCCGCGAGCGGGUGCAGGCCCAGGAGCAGCGCAUCACGGCUCUGGAGAACAUGCUGUGCGAGCUGGUGGACGGCACGGACUAGCCAGGCGCGCCAGGCAGGCGGAGCAGGGCGGGGCGCACAAGCUCGGCCCCGCCCCGACCUUUAGUCCCGAACUCCGGACCCGCCUUCUUGGGCUGGGGCCGGGGGCGGGACUGGGAAGGGAACUACGCCCCUCGCGGGAGACCAGAACUCUUGGAGCUUAGGGGAGACCCACGUCGGUCCGGCGGAGGCUGGACUGCGAGCCUUGUCUGGGACUCGGCUGCAGCUGGCCUAGGGAAGCCUGGGGUAACCUGGGGGGCUCAGCAAUGGUGCUGCACGGCGAGGUGGUGUCCCCCUUUGUCCUCCGCCCAGGGCAGGGAAAGUGCUUAGUAUUAGCGCGAUGCUUGGGGAUAUUGGAGCCUGAGCUUGACCUCAAACGGGUGGCGAUUUGAUGGGUCCCCCCAGGCUGGGGAAAAUGACAGCGCUUCUCCUAAUCAGCUCACUGGAUUCCAUCACCCUGAGCGGUAAACUAGAUGGGCGUCACCCCAGUUCUGCAGACACAUACACAAUCCGUUUGCUGCAGAGCCGGACUCAGUGGCUACACCCACAGCGGUCUGUGGUAGAGAGCUGUCUUCCUUCUUUCCACCGACAGGGGCGAGGGCUGCUUCCUCGCGGCAGCCCCCGCGAAGAAAUCUCGAGAGAACUGGCAUGAGGAAUUAGUUUCAUCACAAAUACACACACACUGCCCCCAACCCUCUGCCGUUGCCUCUCUCAGAAAAACAAGACGUACUGAAUGAAACAUUUUACUAAGCGUUCAGUCUGUGCCUCCUGCAUGGGUGGGAGUGAGGGGAAUGAGACCCCCAGCCUCUGCAAAUGCUACCCCCGGGCUCCUGGGAGACCUGGCGAUGCACUCCUGGGCUCAGGGCCCAUCAGGCAGCCUCUUACCCCAGAGCUCUCUCCAUUCUGAGGUUCAGAAGGACCCCAACCCACACCGUAGGCGUUCCCCCCAAGUAAAGUUAGGUAGCAAAAGCCUCCGGU